GUGUCCCCAGGGGUUUGUACAGGGGGGUUCACUCUGGGUGUCCCCAGGGGUUUGUACAGGGGGGGUUCACUCUGGGGCCCCCCAGGCUCCCCAGCACCCUCGGGGCUGGCUGCAGGUGGUGCUCAGACCCCCGGCUGCCCUCGCAGCCCAUUGUAAAGCAAAUGAAUUCUCCCAGGGCUCAGGAAUAGCUUGGCAGGGAGCAGAGCAGCUGCUCCGGGACUCAGUGCCCCUGUUUGAUUGCAUUUGUCUGAUUUCAGCAGCCUGUGAGGGGCAGGGGAGCCAUGGGGACAUCUCAGUGCCGUGGGUGAGCUCACAGCUUCUCCUCCUGGACAUCCUCCUCUCACCUCAGGAUUUUAUUCUCCUGCUCCCUUUGAAGCACACCCAGAGGUGUCACUGUCACAGGACAGUGUUUGAUGGAUGAAUCCAUCUCUUUUACCUUACAGGGUAAACACGGUGUUUUUGACAAUAAAUGCCAUUUUCUUGAAUGGGAACAAGCAGUCCAAAUGGCUUCUGCUGGGUUUCCAAAUUGUCUGGAGGGUCUGCCCUGGGGAGAGGGCUGUCAGGAGAGCAAACCUGGUGUUAAACUGGUGGUGUGUGUUGCAGAGACUCAGAGCUGGAUGCAGCUGCAGGUUGGUGCUGAGGAUGUUCCCCCACUGCUCCCGAGUGUUGUGGGGCUGCCCUGGCACCCUUGGGUGUCCUGCCUGGCGCUGGGGGAUGGCCACAGCCUGGGGAAGUUAGUGACUCACUGUGAAAUUUCCUCUCCCUUUCAGGCAUUGCAACACAGAUUUUCCUCUUGCACAGGCCCCAGCUCUGCAGACAGGCACUGCCCUCGCUGCAGGGAAAUUGGUAGGAUGUCUUGGGGCAAAGGUAAAACUAAAGUACAUCAGUAAAUGCUAGCAGGAUCAGGCCCUUAUUCAGGCAUAAAUCAGGUAGCCCCAGCCAACAAUAGAAUUACCUAAGUAUAAAAUCCCAUGUAAGCCAGUAAGAUCAGCUCCAAACCUGCUAUGAAUUUGCUUUUUGUUUCCGUGCCAAGAAUAUAUCACUGCUAACUGCUGCAAUCAGGGCUGGUCCUUUCAGGAUUUUUAAGUGCUUUUGAGCACGUUUAUUUCCCAUCCCCAGCAGAUCCACACAGAACCUGGCCUUCCUUCCCUGGGGCAUGCCCCAGCCUGCUUCACCCACAAUAAAUUGUCCCUAUCAGGGAAUAUUUUUUUUUCUUUCCUGGCUGUUUUUGUUACUGCAUUCGGUAAACAAAGGGACAGCAGCAGUGACGAUCCAAACCCAUUCUUUUUUAUUUGCCUGGGAACAGAGUCAACUAUUUGUUGGUCUUUUGUUGCUGCUUUUGUUCUCUUUUCAGCCAGAGCCCUUUGGAGCAGCUCGUGGUACCUGUGGGCAGCACGUACUGGAGCUGCAGGAUUUGUCACCUGCUGCCACCAGCCCAGGGAGGGGCAGCGAGGAGGACAAGGUGGGGUAGGUACCAGGUGCCGGGUCAAACCAAAGGUGCAGGGCACAAUGGUCCCUUCUGUCCCUCCCAGGCAAUAUGGGAACAGCCUGCAGCAGUGUCCUGGUGGCUGUAUGUGCCUCAGUUUCCCCAGUUCUCAGUGCACUGUUUGGAGAUGGUGCCCAAGAUGAGAGGUCUGGCUGCACCUGGCUGAGCCAGGGUGAUGCCAGCUCUUGGGGAUGAACUUCUCAAAACACUUGGCAGGAGAAGGGAAGGAUGGGCGGGAGGGAAGCUGGAGGCUCUUUUAGCCUGAGGACAAGCUUCUCCUGGCCUCUCCAUCUCUGGGGCCUGUGCAGCAGCUCAGGCAGCUCCAGGCUGGUCACUUCUUAGCAGAGACACCAGGAGAAGCACCCUGGCUGCCACUGCCACCCCACCUGUGCCUCCAACCCACACCAGGGCUCUCCAAAAACCCGGCAGAGCUUCCCCUUCCCCAUUCCACUGGGACACAGCACAGCCAGGAGCAGGAAUGCAUUUUCCAUGCUUUGGGCACUGGUGUGGGCUGGGGACACCCAUCAGAGCCAUUUGUCACCCCAGGCCACUCUGGAACAGGGUGGGGAAGCUGCUCUGCUGCCUGUGCCAGGCACAACUCCUGUGCUGCAAACCAAACCUGCAGGGGAGCAUCCCCGGGAGCCAUCUGGUGCCUCUGAGGCUUUGAUGGAGUGGAACAAACCCAGAGCAGCCCAGCAGGCUGGACUGUGAGCCAUGCUGAGCCUGUCCUGCCCUGCUCAGGCUGCCUGCCCAGGUGCUCAGGAGUGUGUUGGUGUCUCCUGCCAGUGCUGCUGAGACUUUGCAUGUAAAGGAGGAUGGUUUGUGGUCAAGAGGUACAAGUGGAGGGAGCAGCAUCUCAGAGCAGCAUCCCAAACACCAGUCAGGCAGCAGGGCAGCUUGGGGACACGUGGUGUGUGCUCUGAGCCUGUGCCAGCACAGCCAGGACCCAAACCUGCUCCCAGGGCUGAGGGCAGCACAGCAAAAGCACCAUGGAUGGCUGGAGAGGCUGCCCUGAGCUCUGCUGCUCCUGGGGGUGUCAACAGAGCUGCAGCACACAGGAGGAGGGGUACACAUUUGGAUCAAGUCCCAAACACACAGAGGCAAGAAAAAUGACUCAGGAGAAUUCCUCUGGGAUUUUACCUCACACCUCGCUUUGUGAUGCUCUGAGUUUGCUGUGGAAAGGCACAGCCCAGCUUGGUUGAGUCUCAUUACAUUGAGCAUUUGCUGCCUGGUUUCCAGGAGCUGUGAGCAGCAUUUGCCUUGCUGGGAAGCAGGCUGGAGGAGGGAUGUGUGCCCUCCACCUGCAGCUGGGGGGGCUGCAGUGACUCACCGAUAUCAGGGGGCUGCCCAGAAAGGACCUGGGGAUGUUUAUGUUGCAAGGGCUUCUGGAGUUUUGCUCUGUAAUUACAGUUACAGGCAGAUUUCAGAGUUUACUCUAAAUGAAAAAGGGAGGAAUGAUUGUUUCUGACUGGUCAUGGAUUCAUUUUUUAAUUGUGUACCCACAAUGAGUUGUCAUGCAAGAAAAAUCUAACCCUUACAAAAACUCAUUUCAAAAUGAGUAACUGCAACAUUUUUUCAGUCAUUGUCUGAGAAGGCUGUUGCAGGACUGCUGGGACUUCCCUUCUCCCCAGAAUGAGAUUCUGGUGUAAUUAAUGGGGCGUUUGGACUCUGAUAGCACUUGCUUCCAUCCAGUUUCUCAUGGAAACCCUCCUGAUGCCUCUCAGAUCUUCAUGAAGGUAUGUAAGCUUUACUCCUCCACUUUCUGCCUCCCACAAGGAGAAUGGGAACUGGAAAAUUCCCCAGGUUCUUGGCAGAGACACUGAGGUGGUGUGGUUCUGCACAAAGCAGCUCUGGCCAUGGACCCUGGCAGCAGUUUUAUCUUUUGCUGGGCUGGAAAUCGUGACCUCAGCCAUUGCAGCAGGUGUUGUCUGGAGCAGUCUGCAAGGAAAUUGGUUUAAAUAGCAAUAGCAUAAUUUAUCCAUCUGAACUAGCAAAGUGUUAAUGUGUCUCAGGGGUGAAACAAAAAUUCUGUGAAACUUUCAGGGCUUUUCUUGGUUUUUCUGCACCCAAACAGGCUCUCAGAGCCGUGCCUUAUGCUUGUCCAUCACUGCCUGGAGAAUGCCCAGCACAGAGAGGACAUUUCUGCUGAUAACAGGAAAGUCAGUGUUUGGUCCUGCUGUCAACAGGUUUUAGCUUGGAGACAAACCUCCACUAAUCAGCUGCUUUGUGGCAUUUUUGCAGCAAGAUAAAAGACGCCUGGAAUUAUUUGUUGGUCACCAAGCAAAUGUUUUUACUGGUGAAAUGUUCCAGAGGCUGUUUAGAGUCUGAUUGACAAAUGUGCCAAAACUCUGCAACCCUCCCCAUGCCCUCCCCUCCUCAGAGCCAGGGCUGAGAUGGGAGGUGGAGAUGAUGAUGAUGGAGCUGUAGAUGAAGAAGGAGAUGGAGCCACCUCAAGCAAUUGCUGCAGGGACCCAGCCUUGCUGCAGGGAUGGUCCCGGCUGAAGCCAGGCAGGGAGGACAGCAGCACGUGGGAAAUGCAGUGGCACAGGCCCUGAUGGAUGUCAUGAGCUCAGGGUCUGUUUAAGGUGCUCACAUGUCAGCAGCUCGUGGAUGCUACAGGAGACCAGGAAUGGCCGUGAGUACCUGCACACACUGACCCCCCAUUUACCCAUGAACAGGAGCCACUCCAAUGAGCUGAGUCUGAUUUUAAAAGAUCUUUUGAGUGUUAAACAUGUAAUAAGAUGCUCAGUGCUAUUUUCAAACCAAGACAUGUUCCUGGCUGAUUUAUAAAAGGCCACUGUCUCCACUUUUAUGUGGGCAAAUGCUUUUAAAAAUUGGCUCUUGGGAUUUGGGGUGCUCAUUGAUUCAUCCUCUCACAAGCCUCCAUCUCUGACCUUUCCAUUAUCAACUUUUCCAUCUCCAACUGCUUCAUCAUGCUCCUAAGCAUGGGCACACAGCUAAUAAAUCUGUCUUUAAUUGCCCUCCCACACUGGGUGGCUUUAUCUGAGCCAUCAUUCCGGUCGCUGUGCCUUGUUGCAUCACUCUGCUUCCAGAUUUGUGCUGCUGGAGUCAGCAAGAGGAUAAAACUGUUAUUUAGGUUUGGGUUUAGGUACAAACCCCUCAGUAACACACCCCAUGGCUGUGUGGCCCCACAUGAUGUGUCUGACAUGGCUGAGUUGGCUCUGCCUGGGGUAGGUACAAACCCUCUGAUUUUAUCUCAUGCAAGGUCCCAUUUUUGAUUUUUUAUGCACCUGAAACAUUGCAAAAAACUUAUGUAGGGAAAAAAACCCACAAACCCACCAUAAAUUCCCUUGCUAAAGACAUCAGUAAGGACAGAGAGUCCUGCUGGCCCAGUGGUGCCCGCACCACUAGGAUGGAAAAACCUCAAGAACACCCAUUGCCUUUGGUACCCAAGGGAGAUUUAUUUAUUUAUUCCCCCCAGUUUAUCACCCUGUCAGGAAGUUUCCCAAGCCCUGCAGGAGUGGGUGCAGCAGUAUCAGCAGGCACAGGUCUAUCAGGCGGAGCAGAAGCUUUUCCAGGAACUAUCUAGUGCCACACGUGACCGUGCCCGGGCGAUACGUGACAGGCAUUCACCGGCCGGUCAGUUGACUUUGUUAUUCAAACUAUUUUAGUGAUGGUUUUUAAUCCCAGGCUUAAGUUUUUCUUUUUCUAUUUUUUUUUUCUCCCUCUUCUUUUUUUACUCUCUGAACAAGGGAAUCUCUAUGCUGGCAGGAUUCGGAGAGGCACAAAGGAGGGAAAAACAAGUUUCAGCCAGAAGAGAGAGAGAGAGAAAAAAAAAGGAUGCUGUUAGCAUUCCCUGUAUUUGAGGGGGUAAAAACAUUUUGCUGUCAACUCUGUUUUAAAGGGUAAGUGCUAAAAGCAGCCCAGUUACUAUGCAAAUAAAUGGUGUGCUCAGCCUUUCCCUCUCAGUGCAAACUUGUUAGCCAGGGGAGCUGGGCUGUGGGGAUCGGCAGUGUCCCCAUGUCCCCAGUGCUCCCAUCCCAUCCUGGGGACACCCACUGGCUGGGGGUGCCACAGCAAAGCUCUGGACCUUGACAGGAGCCCGUGGGGGUGCCCAAACAAGGUGGGACAGCGUGGGGAGCACUGCAGAGGUGUGGGCUGGGUACCCCCUGCUCCUUGUCAAAAGCAGAUUCAGGCAGCUGGCAGCAGAGCCCUUGGCUGUGCCUCUGUGCCAGGGGACACCCAGGGAGAGGGAGUGCCUGGAAAGGGCAGAAAUCUCACCCAAGACAUGCCCUUUCAUGGCAGGCAGGUGGGGAAGGUCUGGCAGCAGCCACCCCGGGGUACAGGGCUGUCUCUCACUCCUGCUGCCAGGUGGAACGGGAGGUGAUGCCAGGACAUGAUGCCAGACUGUGGCUGGGUUCAUCCACAUGAUGACCAGCACCCAGCACUGGUAUUUAUGGUGGCACUUCCCCAUGACAGCAGAGGGGCUGCACA